GUGUCAGCCGCCGCGGUAAUACGGAGGGUGCAAGCGUUAUCCGGAUUCACUGGGUUUAAAGGGUGCGUAGGUGGGCAGAUAAGUCAGUGGUGAAAUCUCUGGGCUUAACCCGGAAACUGCCAUUGAUACUAUUUGUCUUGAAUUCUCUGGAGGUAAGCGGAAUAUGUCAUGUAGCGGUGAAAUGCUUAGAUAUGACAUAGAACACCCAUUGCGAAGGCAGCUUACUACGGAGAUAUUGACACUGAGGCACGAAAGCGUGGGGAUCAAACAGGAUUAGAAACCCCCGUAGUCC
rnacentral:rRNA from 1 species